CGAUCCUUCAUCCUUGAGGUGCUGCUUGAAUGAGAGUCAUCCACCAGGACUUUGAAUGAGGAAUAAAUCAGGAGCACCCAGUUUGGCCUUUGAGUGAGGAACAAAUUAUAUUGGGUCAUCAAGGCCUGUUCAUCGAAGACACAAAAGACCAGGCCAACAAAGGCUCCAUCUGGACAGGAGUUGGAAUUGGAGCUCUCUCAGUCUGUAACCAUGGAAGCAACAUCAGUC